rnacentral:rRNA from 1 species
AUGGAAGGGCCAACGGCUAGGCCAGGUGCCUCGUCAAGCUCAACAGUUGAUGCAGAUUUGGAUUAUCAUAUUCUCGGACUCCAUGGACAGCUCAACAAGCUAAAAGGAGUUGCUAAAGAGAUCAAUUCAGAGGCCAUGUCCCAAAAUGAUCCCAUCUUUCAGCUAGUACAUGCUCACGAAGGGUUAAAGAACAGCAUGAGGAGAAUAAACAACAAAAUCGUACAGAAUGGCUCGAACCAUCUUGUUCAUAUAGUUCUCUUCGCUGUUGGCUGUUUAUUUUCUGGUAUAUCUCGCCUCCAAAUUCCCUCUUUAACAAUAACAUGCACCAAUUUGUUGUGUCUGUAUUCCCCACAGCUGUGCCCGUGGCUAUGA